rnacentral:rRNA from 1 species
UACGAAGGGGGCUAGCGUUGCUCGGAAUUACUGGGCGUAAAGCGCACGUAGGCGGAUUGUUAAGUCGGGGGUGAAAUCCUGGAGCUCAACUCCAGAACUGCCUUCGAAACUGGCGAUCUUGAGUCCGGGAGAGGUGAGUGGAACUGCGAGUGUAGAGGUGAAAUUCGUAGAUAUUCGCAAGAACACCAGUGGCGAAGGCGGCUCACUGGCCCGAUACUGACGCUGAGGCACGAAAGCGUGGG